rnacentral:rRNA from 1 species
UACGGGGGGGGCAAGCGUUGUUCGGAAUUACUGGGCGUAAAGGGCUCGUAGGUGGCCAACUAAGUCAGACGUGAAAUCCCUCGGCUUAACCGGGGAACUGCGUCUGAUACUGGAUGGCUUGAGUGUGGGAGAGGGAUGCGGAAUUCCAGGUGUAGCGGUGAAAUGCGUAGAUAUCGGGAGGAACACCGGUGGCGAAGGCGGUUCUCUGGGCCUGUACUGACGCUGAGGAGCGAAAGCGUGGGGAGCGAACAGG